CAUAGCCACCAUGUCCUCAGUAAUGUUUCCACCCUGCUCCCCACCUUCAUCCCUGGGAGCAGGGUCUGCAGUGGCAGUGACAUAUCUGCAGCUGGCGUGACGACCCAGUCCCCUGAGCAGGCUCUGUUUGUGUCGGACCGCUAUGCCCGGCUCAUCCUGGCCCAGAUGAAUAAGAUGCGUCUCCGGCUGCGGCUGGGAGGCCGGGUGUUCAGUGUCCAUAAGCUGUUCCUGGCUGCCAGCAGCCCCUACUUUUCUGCUCUGUUCUCUGGGUGGAUGAGCGAGGCAGAUGAGGAGGUCCAGACCCUGGGGGUGAAGGCACAGGUGUUUGAGGUCCUGCUGGAGUUCAUAUACACAGGCAUGAUUUAUGUGACGGUGGAGAACAUACAGGAGCUGAUGGUGGCAGCAGACAUGCUGAAACUGAGUGAGGUGGUGUCUAUCUGUGGAGAGUUCCUCAAGAGCCACAUGGACCUGUCCAACUGUGUGGGGUUAUACCAGUUCCUGGAGCAGAUUGCCUGCAUGGACAUGCUGGAGUUCACUGAGAUCUACGUCCAUGUAGACUUUCUGGAGGUGUGUGCGUGUGUAUGUGUGUCGGAUGAGUUCUGGGGCCUGUCCAAGGACCAGCUGGUGAAGCUGCUGCGGAGCGAGGAGUUGCGGAUCGAAGAUGAGUACCAGGUAUUCACGGCAGCCAUGGACUGGGUCCUUCAGGACGUGGCCAAGAGGAAGAAACGUGGUGGAGGUGCUGGACCCAGUCAGGUUCCCCCUGCUCUCCCCACAGAGACUCUUCAAGUACAUAGAUAUACCAUAUAAUUGCUUCCGCUGUCUCAAUGUUUAUUACAUCAUUUCUCUGAAUGGCCUCUGCUCAUUCCCCUCUCCCCUCUGUCUAGGCUUCAUCUAUGUGAUCGGGGGGGAAAUCAGUGAUGAGGGGAUGGAGCUGCACUCAGCGGAGGUGUACGACUCCAUCUCCCGGCGCUGGAGCUCCCUGCCCGUCAUGGUGACCCGGCAGGCCUAUGUGGGCGUGGCCUGCCUCAACAACUGCAUCUAUGCCGUGGGGGGCUGGAACGAGGCACUGGGCUCCCUGAAGAUGGUGGAAAAGUACUCCCCCAAGGAGGAGAAGUGGGUGGAGGUGGCCCCAAUGGCGGUAGCUAGGGCCGGGGUGUCUGUGUCAGCUGUUAACUGGCUGCUGUACGGGGAGGGGGGCUCCAGCAGAGACUUCUCGGCCCUCGUGACAGUGGACACUGUGGAGAUCUACGACCCCAACCUGGACGGAGAUCGGCAACUUGAUCACCAGCCGCUGUGAUGGGGGCGUGGCCGUGCUCUGAGAGGAGCCCUAGUGGAACAAGCGUAGGUGGUUCGGUCACCUUAUGAGUAGCCUCGACUUUGCGGUUUUAGGUUUCUCUGGAACAAACCUGAUUCUCAGACAAGAAGACUGUUGGUUACAUGAUGAGCAACCUUGCCUGAGACCUGGUUUGGUACCUGGGUGGACACACUAGACAACACAUCUUAGCCACAUCAAAGACGAGUCCUCGAGUUCAUUGUCAACAUGGCCUUCACCAGCAAUGUGUUUUAACUUUUGAACAGCAGUGACAGAAUGCUGCAGGUGAAUCGAAUUCUGUUAUUUCCCAUAUUGUACUCAUAUAGCCAAUAGAGGGUGCGACUCUUAGAAUACUUUUUUCAUCACCUCACAGAGCAUGAACACAGAGCCUUUUUCUAUCUCGAACAGUUUGGUCUUUGCAAAAUACAAGGCAAAUCACUUUCUGUGGUCUUGCUGGGGAAUUGAUGGAUUUCAGAAUGUUUGAAUUGUUCUGUUAUUUUGGAUAGUUUAUUGCUUUUAUGUAACUGAACUAGAAGUUCAUUGUACACAGACAAACAGAUGACUGGGAGACUGCCAACCGGGAGACUGUUGAUUCAAAUGAGCUAGCAAGACUGCAGUACCUACUCCGUUAGUUACAUGGCAGACCUGUCUGUCUCCAUCACUCAGUCAUAUACUUCCUGCUCUGUUUCAGAGGUGUGCCAGUGUUUCUGGAGGGUAAAUAGCUUUCAUUGUUUACUGUAUUUUCUCUGCUAAUUUGUGUGGACUUAAACAUUGGUGCUUUCAGGACCAUUACAUUAUACAUAAGUGUAAAGGAUGCUUGUUUGUUUCUGAGAAUGGGAUAGCUGUCUGUCACUGAUAUCCUAUCAAUUGUUUCAACCUGUGCACUUUGAUUGUAUAUUUGAAUAAUAUUUUUUUGCCCAACUUCAGUGUAACAUUUAAAAUAAACACCAAAACUAUUAACUUA